UACGUAGGGCGCAAGCGUUGUCCGGAAUUAUUGGGCGUAAAGAGCUCGUAGGCGGUCUGUCGCGUCUGUUGUGAAAACCCGGGGCUUAACCCUGGGCUUGCAGUGGAUACGGGCAGACUAGAGGCAGGUAGGGGAGAAUGGAAUUCCCGGUGUAGCGGUGAAAUGCGCAGAUAUCGGGAGGAACACCGGUGGCGAAGGCGGUUCUCUGGGCCGAAACUGACGCUGAGGAGCGAAAGCGUGGGGAGCAAACAGG
rnacentral:rRNA from 1 species